UAAAUAAUUGCCUAUAUUGGAAACAUCCUGAUGCAACAGUUUUUUCAGAUGCAGUUUUUAAAUUUGUAUGGAAUGUCCUUUGUGGUGGACAGUUUUCUUUUCUUUUUUUUGUAUAAAGUUGUGAGACUCUUGUCCAUAAAUAUGGGCAGAAAACCCAUCGCUGGGUCUGAGGAGGUUAACGGACAAAAAUGAAGAAAAAUUUUUAAAUUCAU